UACGUAGGAGGCAAGCGUUGUCCGGAUUUACUGGGUGUAAAGGGUGCUCAGGUGGCUUGGAAAGUCAGUGGUGAAAUCUGAGAGCUUAACUCUCAAACUGCCAUUGAUACUUCUUAGCUUGAGUACGGAAGAGGCUGAUGGAAUUUCAGGUGUAGCAGUGAAAUGCGUAGAUAUCUGAAAGAACACCAGUGGCGAAGGCGGUCAGCUGGUCCGUUACUGACACUAAAGCACGAAAGCGUGGGUAGCAAACAGG
rnacentral:rRNA from 1 species